GCCAUGCAAGGCAAGAGGUGACUCCCACGACCAGUGCGGGUCACAGCACAGGCGACAGAAGCUAUGGCAGAGGCACCUGAACCCUCUCGGAGGGGAAAGCCAGGCUCCCAACCUCAGCUCGCCGCCUGGAGCCGGGAACCGAGGAGAGCAGGGCCUUCGCCCUCCCCGAUGGACACUCGGCAGGCCCCGCCCAGCGCCCCUGAUUGGACGAAGCGCCGGGCCCCGCCCCCUCAGCCUUUUGAGUCAGGGUCUACCCUGUGGCCCAGGCUGCCCUCCAGUGAUGCCAUCAUGACUCAGUGCAACCUCAAACUCCCAGGUUCAAGCGAUCUUCCAUCCUGACCUCCAAAAGGGCUGGAUUAUACACAUAAGCCAUGUCACACUUUAUAUGUUUCUAGGGAAGCUUUUCUAAGAAUAAAUACAUUGGAACUA
rnacentral:antisense_RNA from 1 species